rnacentral:rRNA from 1 species
UGGGGAAUAUUGCACAAUGGGCGCAAGCCUGAUGCAGCCAUGCCGCGUGUAUGAAGAAGGCCUUCGGGUUGUAAAGUACUUUCAGCGGGGAGGAAGGUGUUGUGGUUAAUAACCACAGCAAUUGACGUUACCCACAGAAGAAGCACCGGCUAACUCCGUGCCAGCAGCCGCGGUAAUACGGAGGGUGCAAGCGUUAAUCGGAAUUACUGGGCGUAAAGCGCACGCAGGCGGUCUGUCAAGUCGGAUGUGAAAUCCCCGGGCUCAACCUGGGAACUGCAUCCGAAACUGGCAGGCUUGAGUCUUGUAGAGGGGGGUAGAAUUCCAGGUGUAGCGGUGAAAUGCGUAGAGAUCUGGAGGAAUACCGGUGGCGAAGGCGGCCCCCUGGACAAAGACUGACGCUCAGGUGCGAAAGCGUGGGGAGCAAACA